CCUACACUUUGUUAUAGCUUGGAGUUGAUGAACUCACAAGUGUAGGUAGUGUGCUACAUUGGGGGCAAGUCUUUUACUAACCCCACAAGGGCUUCUGGCCCAACGAGUGGAGUUUGAUAGUAAUUCUUGGCAUAACU
ensembl:snoRNA SNORA62 Small nucleolar RNA SNORA62/SNORA6 family